rnacentral:lncRNA from 1 species
CAGACUGCUGUGCUAGCAAUCAGUGAGACUCCGUGGGCGUAGGACCCUCUGAGCCAGGUGCGGGAUAUAAUCUUGUGGUGCGCCGUUUUUUAAGCCGGUCCGAAAAGCGCAAUAUUCGGGUGGGAGUGACCCGAUUUCCCAGCUCAGAACCUGAGGACGCAGCCAUGGAGCGGUCGGCCUUCAUGGAGCUGGAUGCUGGGAGCAGGCUGGUGAUGCAUCUCCGCGAGUGGCCAGCCCUGCUGGUCAGCAGCACGGGCUGGACAGAGUUUGAACAACUUACUCUUGAUGGACACAACCUUCCUUCUCUUGUCUGUGUGAUAACAGGGUCGGUGGACCUGGGUGUCUGUCUGCACAUGUCCUCCAGUGGCCUGGACCUGCCCAUGAAGGUGGUGGACAUGUUCGGGUGCUGUUUGCCUGUGUGUGCCGUGAACUUCAAGUGUUUACAUGAGCUGGUGAAACAUGAAGAAAAUGGCCUGGUCUUUGAGGACUCAGAGGAACUGGCAGCUCUGCAGAUGCUUUUCUCAAACUUUCCUGAUCCUGCAGGCAAGCUAAACCAGUUUUGGAAGAACCUGCGGGAGUCGCAGCAGCUCCGAUGGGAUGAGAGCUGGGUGCAGACUGUGCUCCCUUUGGUUAUGGACAUACAACUCCUGGGCCAGAGGCUAAAACCCCGGGACCCCUGCUGUCCUUCCCGCAGCUUCUUCUCGGAGUCUCAGGGCAAACCCUUUUGAGCAGCGCCUCCCAGUGGCCAGAAGCUGAAAUGACGGCAGUGGUGCCGCCUGGUGAAUGAAUUGGUUCUGUGACCCGG